UGCUAUCUGCUAUACUCAAAGAUUCGACCCUGCAGCUGGUUUGAGUUGAGCGCAGCGAAACAACGGAGCCGCUCGCGGCGACGGCCCGAAGGGCGAGCGAAGCGAGUCAUCCUGCACGACCCACCA
rnacentral:sRNA from 1 species